GCCGGGCCACAUUCGGCCCACGGGCCGCAGGUUGCCUAUCCCUGUCCUAGUUCCUCCAAAUUGGGUUGGUUUUCUUCCCUUGUGGCCAUUUCACGGGUCUACGAAAGGUACAACUGAGGCUUGUAUGGCAGUGGAUGCCUAUAAAGUGAUACCCAUUAUUGCACUGGGAUCAGUACUGAGCAUCCUCUAAGCACUGGGCAGCACUGCCAUGAUGUCUGCAUGUGGCACAGAUAGAAAAGUUUCUGUUUUUUGGAGUAUCAGAUUUCUACAGCCAGAAUUUCCCUCCGUCUCUGGCUUUUGGGGUGCUGUGUACCCCAUUUUGUGUGUGUGUGUAUGUGGGGCAUUGUGAGGCCUAGGCCUGACCAUGGAAACACCUCUCUUUUCCUCUCUCUUUUGGACUAGCAUGCAGUGUGGAUGCUGGGUUUUCCUUUGGCACUUCUGGGUUAUUUUGUUUCAUGUUAUGGGUGCAAAAGGGUCGUUCUAGAAGGGGUGGCAACAGUGGGGUGGAAGGUGGGGAGGACCCCCAAAUUUAACCUGUAUUCUCUUCACACACACACCCCAAUUUGAAUUUGUAAAACAGAUCCUCCAUGGAUCCUGCUCUGAACCUCCCACUCCACGGACCCUGUGCUGCCAUGGGGUUUGUCUAGAGGUUCCUGAGGUACCCCACAUGUUUUCUCAUUCUACCCGGCAGGUAUUCCUCCCUUCCCAGGGUCCCAGCCCAGCAUCCUAUAGGAUUCCACACAUGCACCUUUCCAGAAAGUAUGGCUGUCCGGACGUCCUUUUGAUGGUUUUCCAUCAGACACAGGGAAGUGAAACUGGGGAGGUUCCUUGCAUGUAAAGACUGCCCAGUUUUCAUCAGCCGGAUGGGUUUUGGGAAUCAGCCUGGGUUCGCAUUGUUUUAAAAAAUUAAAAUAUCGCAGCGACAAAGUUUGAAGGAUUGUGGCCAAGUGAGAGGGGCUGCAGGCUAAGCCCCCCACCCCAGUGCCAAGAUCCACCAUGAGCGAGCUGGAGCAGUUGAGGCAGGAAGCGGAGCAGCUGCGGAACCAGAUCAGGGAUGCCAGGAAAGCAUGCGGCGACUCAACAUUGACCCAGGAAGA